GGGCCCGCACAAGCGGUGGAGCAUGUGGUUUAAUUCGACGCAACGCGAAGAACCUUACCCAGGCUUGACAUGCAGCGGACGGGUGUGGAAACACACCUUUCCUUCGGGACCGUUGCACAGGUGCUGCAUGGCUGUCGUCAGCUCGUGUCGUGAGAUGUUGGGUUAAGUCCCGCAACGAGCGCAACCCUUGUCCUUAGUUGCUAACGGGUCAAGCUGAGCACUCUAAGGAGACUGCCGGUGGUAAACCGGAGGAAGGUGGGGAUGACGUCAAGUCCUCAUGGCCCUUACGCCUGGGGCUACACACGUGCUACAAUGGCCGGUACAAAGGGUUCCGAUACCGCGAGGUGGAGGUAAUCCCAAAAAACCGGUCUCAGUUCGGAUUGCAGUCUGCAACUCGACUGCAUGAAGUUGGAAUCGCUAGUAAUCGCUGAUCAGCAGGCAGCGGUGAAUACGUUCCCGGGCCUU
rnacentral:rRNA from 1 species